CUGGUUCCUAUUCAAAAUAUCUAUUACUAUUAUUCUUUAAAUUUGAGUUCUCCUUUGAACAUGUUAUUCUUUCAUGUAAAGAAUUGGGGAAAGUAAAUUUCAGCGAUGAAGCACUUGAACAAGGAGAGUUUCCUGGGAGAAAACAUCCAGGGCAUUAACAGUAGAAAGGAGAGGAUAAGAGAAGGAAGAAGUCAGAGGCUGCUCAGGAAAACCUGUGAAGGCUUGCUUCCACAGAUCUCAGGCAAGCUACCAAGCACGGCCUGUGCCCUUAUUUCUGCUGCUGCCUGGGCUCCAAUGAUUGAGCAUGCACGUUCAAGGCUAACCAUUGGGAAGAUACACUGAUCACCAGCUUCUACAAACAGAUUUCUCUGUGUAGACUUAGCUAUCCUGACUCACUUUGUAGACCAGGCUGGCCUCGAACUCACAGAGAUCUGUGAGAAGACUUGAGUCUUCUAUGUUGCAGCCUACCACUUGUUUCACAGUGUGGAUGUGCCAAUGUUGACCCAGUUUCCAGAUGACAGACAUGUUUGGCUUUUCUAUUACUCCUCUGCUAUAUUUACACAGGUAUGUAUUCACUGCCCUUACUGGACUUACUUUUCAACCUAUUUUUAUUUAAAUUUUCACCUAGAAACAGCUUAUACUUUAUCAACAAAACUCAACCAAUUCAGCCUCAGGUGAGACACCUUCCACGCUUUUCUGCUGCCUGCCAACUGUGCACCUCAAACACACAGGAACUCUGACUUAUCUGUGGUUAUGGAACAAGUAUUUGGAAACUCUUCACUUGAAUAUUAAAAAUGAGAUAAA